CAAUAGCGUAUAUUAAAGUUGUUGCAGUUAAAAAGCUCGUAGUUGGAUUUCUGGGCUGGCCGGACGGUCCACCUCACGGUGAGAACUGGCUGGUCGGCCCUUCCUCUCGAAGUGUUGCGGUGUUCUUAACUGAGUGCUGUGGCAAUUCGGGACCUUUACUUUGAAAAAAUUAGAGUGUUCAAAGCAGGCCUUCGCUUGAAUACAUUAGCAUGGAAUAAUAAGAUAGGACCUCGGUGCUAUUUUGUUGGUUUGCGCACAGAGGUAAUGAUGAACAGGGACAGUUGGGGGUAUUUGUAUUUCGUUGUCAGAGGUGAAAUUCUUAGAUUUACGAAAGACAAACUACUGCGAAAGCAUUUACCAAGGAUGUUUUCAUUGAUCAAGAACGAAAGUAUGGGGAUCGAAGACGAUUAGAUACCAU
rnacentral:rRNA from 1 species